rnacentral:rRNA from 1 species
CCUACGGGAGGCAGCAGUGAGGAAUAUUGGUCAAUGGGCGGGAGCCUGAACCAGCCAAGUCGCGUGAGGGAAGACGGUCCUACGGAUUGUAAACCUCUUUUGCCGGGGAGCAACGGGGUCCUUGCGAGGGCCCAAUGAGAGUACCCGGAGAAAAAGCAUCGGCUAACUCCGUGCCAGCAGCCGCGGUAAUACGGAGGAUGCGAGCGUUAUCCGGAUUUAUUGGGUUUAAAGGGUGCGUAGGCGGGCUGUUAAGUCAGCGGUCAAAUGGCGGGGCUCAAACCCGGCCUGCCGUUGAAACUGGCGGCCUAGAGUGGGCGAGAGGUAUGCGGAAUGCGUGGUGUAGUGGUGAAAUGCAUAGAUAUCACGAAGAACUCCGAUGGCGAAGGCAGCAUACCGGCGCCCUACUGACGCUGAGGCACGAAAGCGUGGGUAGCGAACAGGAUUAGAUACCCGGGUAGUC